rnacentral:rRNA from 1 species
UCCAGACUCCUACGGGAGGCAGCAGUGGGGAAUAUUGCACAAUGGGGGGAAACCCUGAUGCAGCGACGCCGCGUGAGUGAAGAAGUAAUUCGUUAUGUAAAGCUCUAUCAGCAGGGAAGAAAAUGACGGUACCUGAGUAAGAAGCCCCGGCUAACUACGUGCCAGCAGCCGCGGUAAUACGUAGGGGGCAAGCGUUAUCCGGAUUUACUGGGUGUAAAGGGAGCGUAGACGGCAUGGCAAGUCAGAUGUGAAAGCCCGGGGCUCAACCCCGGGACUGCAUUUGAAACUGUCAGGCUGGAGUGCAGGAGAGGUAAGUGGAAUUCCUAGCGUAGCGGUGAAAUGCGUAGAUAUUAGGAGGAACACCAGUGGCGAAGGCGGCUUACUGGACUGUAACUGACGUUGAGGCUCGAAAGCGUGGGGAGCAAACAGGAUUAGAUACCCCAGUAUAC